UAACAAUAAUAUGCAAUCCUGCAUUGUCAAAAGAUUGCUUAAAAUACAAAAAUUCCAUUCAAUACCAGAAAUAAUAGACUUCACUUCAACUAAUCUAAAUUCUUAUAAUUUCUGUAAUCACAAACUUUUUCUAUCAAAAUACACACAACUCUCAAUAAACAACAAUUAUAAUCUUUCAUCCAUUAUCAAUCUUCCAAUAACUUCUCAUAUAAUUCAAUCACACAAUACUCCAAUUACAUAAUCAAUAAUUCAUAAAUCAAUCUUUGAUUUAUUCCACAAAUUUACUUUUCAAUAUUUAGAAACUAUCUAUUAUUCUUUAACAACAAAGAAAUAAAAGAAGUAGCACCAAGCUUACUUCGACUCAUGACUAUCACAAUCUGGCCCUUACAAUAUCUUCUUCAACUUACUUAUGCUUUACUUUUGAAAUUCUAGCUUUUAACCGUCAUUUCCUACUUAACUAUUUUUUAUAGCUAA
rnacentral:lncRNA from 1 species